rnacentral:rRNA from 1 species
AAGAGCCCAAGAUUGAAAGCUGGCGUCUUCGGCGUCCGCAUUGUAAUCUCAAGAAGUGUUUUCCGCUUCGGACCAUGCCUAAGUCCCUUGGAAAAGGGCAUCAUAGAGGGUGAUAAUCCCGUACAUGGCAUGGAGCGCCCGAAGCUUUGUGAUACGCUUUCUAAGAGUCGAGUUGUUUGGGAAUGCAGCUCAAAAUGGGUGGUAAAUGCCAUCUAAGGCUAAAUAUUGGGGAGAGACCGAUAGCGAACAAGUACAGUGAUGGAAAGAUGAAAAGAACUUUGAAAAGAGAGUUAAACAGUACGUGAAAUUGCCAAAAGGGAAGGGUAGGAGGUCAGAGAUGCGGCCUAGGAUUCAGCCUUGCUUUUGCUUGGUGUUUUUCCUAGGUUGCAGGCCAACGUCGGUUUUGGGCACUGGAGAAGGGUGGAAGGAAUGUGGCACCUCUCGGGGUGUGUUAUAGCCUUCUACUGGAUACAGCGACCGAGACCGAGGACAGCAGCGUACUCGCAAGAGCGGGCCUUCGGGCACCUUUACGCUUAGGGCGUUGGCAUAAUGGCCCUCUACCACCCGUCUUA